rnacentral:rRNA from 1 species
UACAGAGGUCUCAAGCGUUGUUCGGAUUCAUUGGGCGUAAAGGGUGCGUAGGCGGUGAGGUAAGUCGGAUGUGAAAUCCCGGGGCUCAACCCCGGAACUGCAUUCGAUACUGCUUUACUUGAGGACUGGAGAGGAGAUUGGAAUUCACGGUGUAGCAGUGAAAUGCGUAGAUAUCGUGAGGAAGACCAGUGGCGAAGGCGAAAUCUCUGGACAGAUCCUGACGCUGAGGCACGAAGGCUAGGGGAGCAAACGGG